UUCCGUAGGUGAACCUGCGGAGGGAUCAUUACCGAGUUAUCAACUCCCAAACCCCUGUGAACAUACCUGAACGUUGCUUCGGCGGGACCGCCCCGGCGCCCUUCACACGGCCCGGAACCAGGCGCCCGCCGGAGGACCACAAACUCUUGUUUUAAUUAGUGGAUUAUUCUGAGUCUCAAAACAUAAAUGAAUCAAAACUUUCAACAACGGAUCUCUUGGCUCUGGCAUCGAUGAAGAACGCAGCGAAAUGCGAUAAGUAAUGUGAAUUGCAGAAUUCAGUGAAUCAUCGAAUCUUUGAACGCACAUUGCGCCCGCCAGUAUUCUGGCGGGCAUGCCUGUCCGAGCGUCAUUUCAACCCUCAAGCCCCUCAAGGCUUGGUGUUGGGGACCGGCCUCACCGCCGCCCCCGAAAUGCAGUGGCGACCUCGCCGCAGCCUCCCCUGCGUAGUAGCACAACCUCGCACCGGAGCGCGGAGACGGUCACGCCGUAAAACGCCCAACUUUUUUUUAGAGUUGACCUCGGAUCAGGUAGGAAUACCCGCUGAACUUAAGCAUAUCAAUAAGCCGGAGGAA
rnacentral:rRNA from 1 species